ACAAGAUGAGAUCUCCCUGGACCUUUAAGGUCCCUGAAGGGCCGUUGAAGACUACAACGUUGAUAGGCUGGGUGUGGAAGUGCAGUAAUGCAUGUAGCUAACCAGUACUAAUUGCCCGUGCGGCUUGACCAUAUAACACUCAAG
rnacentral:rRNA from 1 species